rnacentral:misc_RNA from 1 species
AAAUGCGAUAAUUAAUGUGAAUUGCAGAAUUCAAUGAAUCAUCGAGUCUUUGAACGCACAUUGCGCCCCCUGGUAUUCCGGGGGGCAUGCCUGUCCGAGCGUCAUUGCUGCCCUCAAGCACGGCUUGUGUGUUGGGCUUCCGUCCCUGGCAACGGGGACGGGCCCAAAAGGCAGUGGCGGCACCAUGUCUGGUCCUCGAGCGUAUGGGGCUUUGUCACCCGCUCCCGUAGGUCCAGCUGGCAGCUAGCCUCGCAACCAAUCUUUUUAACCAGGUUGACCUCGGAUCAGGUAGGGAUACCCGCUGAACUUAAGC